AGCUUACCGAAUCCGUGCAGAGAUUUCAUUUGAUAUCAAUACACCAAAGCUGAUGAGACCUCUAAAAGAAGUGAAGUG
rfam:Schistosoma haematobium scaffold934_19, whole genome shotgun sequence.